CAGGAUGAACGCUAGCUACAGGCUUAACACAUGCAAGUCGAGGGGCAUCAUGGAGUUUGCUGCAAACUCUGAUGGCGACCGGCGCACGGGUGAGUAACGCGUAUCCAACCUUCCCUAUAGUAGAGGAUAGCCCGGCGAAAGUCGGAUUAAUACUCUAUGUUUUCCGUUGCAGACAUCUAAGAUGGAACAAAGGCUUGCCGCUAUAGGAUGGGGAUGCGUCUGAUUAGGUAGUCGGCGGGGUAACGGCCCACCGAGCCUUCGAUCAGUAGGGGUUCUGAGAGGAAGGUCCCCCACAUUGGAACUGAGACACGGUCCAAACUCCUACGGGAGGCAGCAGUGAGGAAUAUUGGUCAAUGGGCGCGAGCCUGAACCAGCCAAGUAGCGUGCCAGGAUGACGGCCCUAUGGGUUGUAAACUGCUUUUAUGCGGGGAUAAAGUUCACUACGUGUAGUGUUUUGUAGGUACCGCAUGAAUAAGGACCGGCUAAUUCCGUGCCAGCAGCUGC
rnacentral:rRNA from 1 species